rnacentral:lncRNA from 1 species
AGCCGGCGGCCGUGGGUUCGCGUGCAAGGCGCGCCGUGAGGCCCACUCUGGCCCAGGCCCCUCGAGGCCUGCCCGCUGCUCCCUGCCCGCUCCCCGACCCCGCACUCCCGGACUCCCGAGCCCCCCAGGGUGGGGAACGCUGGCAACGCCGACCCUGCUGUCUGCUCGCGGCCCAGCGCCCAGCCAGAGAGAUAGAGAGCCCACAGGCCUCCGCCGCGCCGGCCGAUGGAGUUUCUUUGUACGACAGUAAUCGGUGCACAGGGGUUGUUGGAGUCCAGCCCUGAUUUGAAGGCAGCAGGUAUCUCUUGCAGCUGCAGCACUCCAACUUCCUCUAAUGGCACGGUCAGGUCGCAGGAAACCACAGCGGCAGCGCGGUGCAGCUUCCCACGCCCGCCCUUCGAGCUUGUUCCCCAGCGGCGCAGCUCAGCCUCCUCCAAGUCUCAGCCUCAUACCGGCGGGGAGACAAAGCUGGCGCUGGGAGUGGGAAAAGGGCCCGCGAAAUGGCCUCAAGAUCGUGCCUUUGUUAGAAGAAACAUGGAAAAGACGGCCUUGUUUUACCCAGAGAAGGAGCGUAAUGCGGAGCGAACCAUUCGUCACCCCCAUUCUCUGCUGCACUUAACUGUGUACAGUGAUGAUAAUUAGCCUCUGGGUCCCUGAAGUCCCUGGUUCAGUUCUUCCGUCUGUAUUCUAGAGAUAAUUAUUUAUUACCAAGUUUGAAUAAAGAGCUAUAUCCCCUACAGACCUUUUUUUUUUUUUUUUUUUUGGCUUGCCAAUGGAAAGAGUUCAUAAAUUCCACCAAGUAAUCAUUUACCAAAAUGAGUUGUACAUUAGUUGCAAACACUUGAAAUAACGCCGAAGAUAUUCAAGUCAUUUUAUUCAGGUUGGGAGCAUUUUUAACUACUUGAAGAACUGCUGGAAUUAAUACAGAUGUUAGGUUAUUUAGCAUACAGCAGAAGUUGAAGAUUUACAGGUAGUACUGAAGUGUUCAGAUAUAUUCAGUGCUGAAUUAGAGGUAAGAGUAUUCGCUGGAAGCUAGGAAAUGGCAGCAGCUAUGCCAGUGUUACCAAGCUGGAUAUCUAUGUGAAAAUGAAUCUUAACCAUUGCAUAAAAAGCUAAAGUUAGCAUAUUGUACAAGCUAUUUGUAAUCAUCGCUGGGAAGAUUUCUUGCUCCGUUUUCAAAAACCGUUUUGCGCCUGAUCAGAACUCAGUGGCAUAGCUCUGAACUGAAAGGGUCACUCUCCUAAAGCAUCCCAGGAUGGAAUAUCUCCCAUACUAGUGGAAAACCAGCUAGAUUCUGGGAUUCCAGUGUUGCUUCUAAUCUCAGGUUGAUUCGAGACCCCUUUAAAUGUGAUGCCAUAGAUUCGAGUAAACCUAACCCUCCUCUCUAAACUUAACUGAUCAAGCCACUGCUUUAGGCUAAGACUUGCCCUGGUCCUAGCCUUUUUAAAAUUUAUACUCACACUCAGGACCAAUCUGACAGACUACCAUCUAGGCUAGAAAAGUACCUAUAAUCAAAAACCCUCCAACUCACCUGAAAUUCUGCCAUUAGAGUUUUAUCCCUUUAAGUAGUUUUUUUCUCUAGCACAAAACCAUAAUCCUGGGAAAAGUAAUAUUUUAAUCCUUAUUAGUCAUUUAUACCUAAUUCAUCAGAUUGUUUCCCCAAAGCAGCUUUUGUUGGAAGGGAAAAAUAGAGAUAACUAGAGAUAACAUAUGCUGAGGCUGAGUUGAUAGGAGACGGAAAUAUAGUCUCAUUCCUUGGAGCGUUAUAUAGAGAGUAGAGGAUUACAGGCAAUAAAAGGACCCUUUUGAUGGCUAAAUAAGUCCUGCUUACUCAUACUGUAAGAAUGAGCCACCUAAUACACUGGCCUUAAGAGGAUGGAAUCUGGCCGGUUGCAGUGGCUCGCACCUGUAAUCCCAGCACUUUGGAGGCUGAGGCGGGAGGAUUGCUUGAGCCUAGGGGUUCAAGAUCAGCCUGGACAACAUGGUGAGACCUUGUCUCUACAAAACCAAGAAAGGAGGAUGGAAUCCAGGAUACACUUGUCAAUACAGUUGACCCUUGAAUAAUAUGGAAUUUAGGGGCACCAACCAACUAUGUGAGCAUAUAACAUUUGACUCUCCCAAAACUGAACAACUACUAAUAAGCCUACUACUGACCAGAAGCCUGAUAACAUAAAACAGUUGAUUAACACAUUGCUUGUAUCUUAUAUGUAUUAUGUACUGUCUUCCUACAGUAAGUAGAGAAAUAAAUGUUAUUAAGAAAAUCAUAAGGAAGAGAAACUACAUUCACAGUAAUGUACUAUGUCCAUACCAUAAGUUUACAUUGUCUGUUUACAAGAUGAAUUGUCUGUCUGA